CCACGCUGGCCCUGAUUUAUGGCCAUCUCAGUCGGACUCCCUACCAAAUCCACCCGCUGCCUUUCUUGUUCAGUGGAGAUGCCUAUGCUUGAGCUGAUAGGAUGUGGUCUGGUUCGUCACACUGAACCUGAGGACACAGCUGAUGCCUCCGAGUAGCACUCUGAUGUUCCCAGUUCCUCCUCUCUCACACAGCAUUAAAAAGUCUGGAUAAAAGGUAAGAAAUAGGCUUUAUUAACUUUAAAUAUGCAUGAUGUUUCUGAGAAAAGUGCAGUGCGGCAUUGAGAAACGUCCAAAAGCUUGACUACUUAUUUUUUCCCUCUUCCUCUCUCCUUCUCAAAAAUAGUUAAUAAUUGAAAACAGAGAAGGAAAGGAAAGGGGGGAAAAGACACCAAGAUUCUGACACACUCUGCAUAAACAUCUGCUUAUUAGUGACCCUAGAUGCCACACACAGUCACAGCGGCUCUGAAGCACCCCGCUGAGAGCUCAGAUGUCAGAGGUCGGCCUUCACCAUCAUAACCUCUACAGACGUGUCUUCCGGUCUUUCACAGAAAAGUGUGAUUAUUCCUGCCAGGGCCCUGUAAGAGGACGUCCUUCAUGGUUCUCUCUCAGUGAUGGAUUAACACCCGGCCGGUUAAUGAAUGACCCUCGUAAGUUGUUAAUGCUGUUUUAAGGUUCAAUUUCUAUUAAUUUUCUAGCCAGCGUGACUCACGUUUUCUCUUAUUCAACACUUUUUUUGCAAUCAUUUGUUCUGCAGAUUGCAUUAUACACACACUAUAGAUACUGUAUAUACACACACACAUACAUACAUACAUACACUUUUAGACAUUUUAUUGUUAGGAAAGAUUUAAAAUAAAUAUUGUUAUACUUUUAUGUUUUAGUAUUAU
ensembl:lncRNA